GACACUGGCUGUUUUCCCUUAUUUGGCAGAUUCAUUAAUAUGUUCAGAGCUGUGCUCUGAUUGGCUGAUUUACUGUGAGGUACUGCGAUGGCUCACACAGAUCCGACAUAGAUCUACAGGUGAGAUAAAACAGAGCAUUUAGGCAUCCAACCAUAUUUGUUUGAACUUGUAUCAGAGGAGGAAUUAGAUGUUGAGGAGAAGCCGGUUGCUCGGAAAUUGCAAAUGAAUGUCUCGGAGUGUCUUUACAGAAAGCACUCAAGAUCCACCCUGUCCUCUGCUCCCUGACCCAGUGCUGCAAAACCAUCUUCAGAUGAUUCCAACAGGCUGUUCAAACUCACAGUGGCAAGCAGGUGGAACAACGAUUACGGGGUCAGGUUCACAUACAUAUUUAAGGAAAAAUACCACUUCCUGUGUAAUAUAGGCCGUAAUAAACAGUAUGAAAAAGCACAGCACAUUUCCAGUAAUGAGGCUACCACAGAGAACCAAUCCAGUGCAUUCUGGGAAGUCAAC